AAUACAUCGGAAUCUACUCUGUCGCGGGGGAGUAACGUAGGGAAACUUACGCUAAUACCGCAUACGACCUACGGGUGAAGCAGGGGAUCUUCGGACCUUGCGCGAUUGAAUGAGCCGAUGUCGGAUUAGCUAGUUGGCGGGGUAAAGGCCCACCAAGGCGACGAUCCGUAGCUGGUCUGAGAGGAUGAUCAGCCACACUGGAACUGAGACACGGUCCAGACUCCUACGGGAGGCAGCAGCU
rnacentral:rRNA from 1 species